ACGCCAUAGAGUUUGACAGCUCUAUAGAGAGUGAAUUUUUUUGACAGUUCCGAGAGGAAGUGACUUUUUUUAUAGUUGUCCUUUAUGCGACAAUGGCAAUGGUCUUUUGCGUGUCUGGAAUCAAGUUAGUAAACAUUUUCGAAUUACAACUUCAACUUUUAUUUAUAAAUUAUUUUAUUGAAUCUAUUUGCAUUCUAUAAAUGAAAUGUUUAUUUAAAAGUAUAUUAAUUCAAAGUCGUAAUUUUCACUUUAAUCAAUUUAGUUCCGUCUCAAGUCUGCAACUGUGACAUUAUUAAAAAAAAAAAACGUCAAAAAUUUUCAUCGAAAAAACGUGUUUUUCUUUAAACAAAUUUUAUCUAAAAUCAAUAAUUUCUCAAUCAAUAUUAAUAAGAACUACAUGUGCAUGGAUUGCCAGUUGGAUUGAUGUUUGUUUUAAGAAGAAAUUUCUCUCAAGUAAGAUAUCCACUCGAGAAAGGUUAUUGCAGCUUGCAGCAACAUCAUGUUUUAUCAAGUAUUGAACCACACAAAGGAUUAAAUCUUCAUUACAAUAUCAUUCAUAACUCCAUUUAAAUCAAUGGAAACUAAAUAUGGAUCGUUUCAUGGAGUAACAACAUACUUUGGAGUUUGGACCCAAAAUACAAUACACGUUAAUAUCAAACUUAUAAGGUGUUAAGCUGCAAUUACAAUAAAAGUGCUUGCUAUGGAAUCACCGGUGCUGAUCAUUAUUGUCAACUGUUACUUAAAAUCCAGAUGAACCAACCUUUACUUCCUAUUCAAAUAAGUUUAGAAGAAACCUAUAUAAGUAAUAAAACCAGACCAAGAAUGCUUGAUUACAAACGAUGAACUCAUAUCAUUUGCAAGUUAUGCCAUGACAUAAAUGCAUUAAAUUAGGAAGAUUUGUAUUAGAUGAAUAUUAACUUCUGUUGAUAAGAACAUUUGAUUGGUGGAAUCCAGAUUCUGUGAAUGUACAUGUAAUUGAUUGACAAGUACACAUUUGACAAGGUAAAUUAAUUUUAUUUAACAAAGUAGUGCAAAUCUAGAAACAAAACAGACAGUAAGAUAGGUAUGGUAGAUAAGACAGAUCACUUGUUCAUCUGCUGUACUCUUUAUAAUAUUAGUGUAGAAUGUAGAUGAUGUAGGAGAUUACAGUCUUACGGUGACA